rnacentral:rRNA from 1 species
UAGUAGUCAUACGCUCGUCUCAAAGAUUAAGCCAUGCAUGUGUAAGUAUAAAUAGUUAACUUUGAAACUGCGAAUGGCUCAUUAUAUCAGUUAUAGUUUAUUUGAUGAAGAAUACUAAUUGGAUAACCGUAGUAAUUCUAGAGCUAAUACAUGUGUAAAGUCUUGUAGACUGCAUUUAUUAGAAUGAAAACCAUAGGUUUCGGCCUAUUCGUGAGUAAUAAUAACUAAUCAUAUCGUAUGCUUAUGUAACGAUGUGUCUUUCAAGUUUCUGCCCUAUCAGCUUUCGAUGGUAGUGUAUUGGACUACCAUGGCAGUAACGGGUAACGAAGAA